GUCAAUUGGUUACUGUGAGGACAAGGAAGAGUCAGUGCCUGGAGGAGCUGCCUACAAGGAGCAUUAAGGAGGAGAUCUUUCCCUGAAAACUUUUCCAUCUAGAAGCCUGCUUGAUCCAGAGCAAUGUCAGCUGUGGAAGGAGGCAAAGGAGCAUCUGUGCUGUUUCCUGCCCCUUCUGCAAAACUGAUCUUAUUUGAGUCACUGCUUUUCCCUCCUCAUGGCCUUAUUCUGUUUGCAGACUCCUCACAGCUGAGCAUUUUGCAACAUCUAAUCAGUGAUUUUUCCAACACUGCUACUAAUUGCUUGUGCCCAUGCCAAUACUUCAGUGCCUGGUAAAUUCUUGAAUCUGAAAAUUUGUGAAAUCCCAGAGCAAGCUCCUAAUUCCACAUCCACACACUCUCUUCAUCCCUUUCUUUCCUCUGAGAUCACAUUUUCCACUCCCAUGUUUUAGAUUGCCUCUUAAAGCAGAAGUACCAAGCCUGCUAGAAUUAAGGAUGAUGCUCUCAGGCACACGUGGGGGUUCUUGGGGCUGUGAAGAGACCGGAGCUGGACUUUGAUUAUCCUAAUGAGUCCCCUAUAAUUCAGGAUAUUCUAUGUUUCUGUGUUUCGAUGUUUCUGUAUUUACAAGGCCCAUCAACUGAAGAAAUGGGAUGUGAAACUCCUACAAGGUUCCUGACAUGAUUUUUUAACAGCAGCCAUGUCAUGUCUUGGCUGGAGAAGAGCAUCAGCCUGUGCAUCAAGGCCUGUGGCCCCACGAAACCCUGUCUCCACCAGGAUCCUGCAGCACCAGUGAGCACAACCAGGGGUUUAACAGACCUGAUUUCAACCAGCUGCUGUGUCCUGCAGGGACUGGAGUAUCAAAUCUGAACAUCCUGCUCUUUAUCACUGAGGGACACAGGCUCCUAUUUCCACCACCGUGGGAGAGGACUGCAGCGCAUUCAGGCUCUCUGUGAUCAGACCUGUCACAGGAGGAUGGAAAUCUCUAAUUGGAGAGACAGGAAUGGGCUUGAAACAAGGCAUCACACACAAAGGCACCAUGAAAAGUCUGGGAGAUGAGGUCAAGUGAUGAAGCAGCAGAGCAAAUGGAGGAAACUCUCCUGUCAGACUGGCUUUCAAAUUCAGAAGAGAAGGAAAUCAGUGUUUCAUGACAUUGAACUGGGUGCUGGUGACUGCUCAGGCAAUUGUCCUGAUUUGUCCUUACUCUGAUGCUGACUCAUUCUUGCCCCUUGAGUCCAUCAUUGCAGAUAUCGCAAGAUUAUUCAAUUCCUUCAGACACCUCCAUGACUAAAAUUUGACCAAAGUUUGCAGAUAACUCACUGUCAGAGGUUUUUAUGAUGGUCCAGAAAAGAAGUCAUUUUAAGCAAUGUCUUGUGCCUCUAAAAAUUGGCAUCCUCAGGUAUCUUACUACGUUUGUCCAAUAGCUUUUGUCCCCACACAUUUGGGAAUUGUCACACCAAAACCUGCAUAGCCUCCACUAUGUGUAAGUGCAAAAACUUAGAAGAUGCCAGGUAAAAUGCAUAUUUUUAUCCACAAAUAAUUUUCUGGGUCAUUCCUAAUAUGCUGUAUGAUUUAUUUAUCUUUGCAAUUAUAUUAUUUUGAGGAGGAAGGUUAAUAUACAUAUUCUAGUUCCUACAAAGAGCACAAAGCUUAGAAUCAGACAAUGUUGAUUAAAAAGACUGAAGGUUUUUUAUACAGCUAUAAUUUUUGCGUAAAAAGUGAGUCAAAAUUUGCAGAGAAAGGAAAUACCAUUUCUUAGACAUUCUUAUUGGCAGCUAGAAAAAUAGACAAGCUUUUGCUUUCACUGAGACUUUGGUUCUGAAGCAUAACCAAAGAGCCUCAAGCUAAGCAGAGUUUGGAAACUGCUCUGGAUAUAACUUCAUUAUGUUAGCUGAUUAGACAAUUUCAAAAAAAAAAGGCAGUUGGUAUCUGAGCAGAGCAGGGUACUUAAUCAGAACAGAAGUAAUAACAUUUGUAGACCCUGUGGUUAGUAGAGAUAGAAAGGCAGGUAAUUAUAGCACAAAAGCUGGUGACUAGCUGGAAUGAGAUUUGAGGGAAAUUACUACGUGUCAGAUCAUUGUGUCUCUAUUGAUACAAUUAUUUUUGACGUCCAGUAGAGUUAUGAUUGUAUUUCCAGGCUUAGUUUUGAAGAUAAUUUCUAAAUCUUUCAUAAACAGAAUGGUGAAAUUAUACAUAGAAAAUACCUGGAGGUUACAUGGUGUUCUUCACUGGAUCAUUUGCCUUGAUCAAUUCCAUGAUGGUGCACAGCCCCAGCUUGGAUUGACCCUUGUCAUCUCCACGAGUACCAUGAUGCCAUGAAUGAUUUAUUUCUCAUUUGGGGAUUCACUGCUUGUUCAUAUGUGGUAUUCAAGGCAUUACUUCAUUGUCUCAAAGGUCUUUUCCAACCUAGUUGAUUCAGUGAUUCUGGGAUAAACAGUUUUUAUUGCACUGCUUUUUUAGAAACCAGUUCUCCAGGAAAUGUGUCCACAUUUGUCACAAGCAACAAAAACAUUUGAUAGAUAAAAACAAUCCUUCCAGCUGGGAGUUCAUAGCACAGUCAC